rnacentral:sRNA from 1 species
AGGUUAUUAUGGGAAUCUACUCUGUAGGCUUCCCAUCUUCGCUUUUUGCUUUUUUUUUUUUUUUUUUUUUUUGGCCCGGGUUCGAGACCGGCGGGUGACAAAGUCAACACAGAACUCGAAAUUUUUAUUUCAUCAUCAUUCAUUGUUCCCAUGUUUCACUUUAUUUAUUUUGCGCCCUUAUUGACUUUGGACAAGCGUAUUAAAUAUGAAUACAGCUCGAGGCUGCUAUUUUGCACACCAGUAGCCGCGUUUCAACCUCAAAAAAGCCAGUGAACCGUUCUCUUAAAGGCACCAAUACGAGAAUAAAAUACAGGACAACACAGAAUUCAGGAUGGACCAAUAUCCACCCUUCCACUAUAAUAGAAAACGAAGAGGAAAUGAAGAAUACGAAGAAUAAAGACAAACAAAUGGCUGCUGCACCAGAACCAAAAGGGAGUGGAGUAUCCUAACACCUUCUCCACUUGAAGAAAAUAGUAUGGCCAAACUCUCCAUCCAUCGACGUGCUUGCGAGUUUACCGGCGCCGUGCACAAUCACCUCCUGCUUCACAUUGAGCAUUGCCUGGGUGGAGCCACAGGGCGACCAGGUAUCCCAAACCACCACAUCAUGCUUUUCGAAGUUCUCAGACGUAGGCCCC